rnacentral:rRNA from 1 species
UACGUAGGGUGCAAGCGUUGUCCGGAAUCAUUGGGCGUAAAGCGCGCGUAGGUGGUCAUGUAAGUCCGCUGUGAAAGUCAAAGGCUCAACCUUUGAAAGCCGGUGGAUACUGCAUGACUAGAGUACGGAAGAGGCGAGUGGAAUUCCUGGUGUAGCGGUGGAAUGCGCAGAUAUCAGGAGGAACACCAAUAGCGAAGGCAGCUCGCUGGGACGUUACUGACACUGAGGCGCGAAAGCAUGGGUAGCGAACAGG